CCCAAGAGAUCGGGAUAACACCUGGAAACAGAUGCUAAUACCGGAUAACAACAGAUGAUGCCUAUCAACUGUUUAAAAGAUGGUUCUGCUAUCACUCUUGGAUGGACCUGCGGUGCAUUAGCUAGUUGGUAGGGUAACGGCCUACCAAGGCGAUGAUGCAUAGCCGAGUUGAGAGACUGAUCGGCCACAUUGGGACUGAGACACGGCCCAAACUCCUACGGGAGGCAGCAGUA
rnacentral:rRNA from 1 species